rnacentral:tRNA from 1 species
UCCCUAGUGGUCCAUUGGCUAAGAUUCUGCACUUUCAAUGCAGGGGGCCCAGGUUUGAUUCCUGGUUGGGGAA